rnacentral:rRNA from 1 species
GCAACGCCGCGUGAGGGACGACGGCCUUCGGGUUGUAAACCUCUUUUAGUAGGGAAGAAGCGAAAGUGACGGUACCUGCAGAAAAAGCACCGGCUAACUACGUGCCAGCAGCCGCGGUAAUACGUAGGGUGCAAGCGUUGUCCGGAAUUAUUGGGCGUAAAGAGCUCGUAGGCGGUUUGUCGCGUCUGCUGUGAAAUCCGGAGGCUCAACCUCCGGCCUGCAGUGGGUACGGGCAGACUAGAGUGCGGUAGGGGAGAUUGGAAUUCCUGGUGUAGCGGUGGAAUGCGCAGAUAUCAGGAGGAACACCAAUGGCGAAGGCAGAUCUCUGGGCCGUAACUGACGCUGAGGAGCGAAAGCAUGGGGAGCGAACAGGAUUAGAUACCCUGGUAGUCCAUGCCGUAAACGUUGGGAACUAGGCGUAGGGUCCAUUCCACGGAUUCUGUGCCGCAGCUAACGCAUUAAGUUCCCCGCCUGGGGAGUACGGCCGCAAGGCUAAAACUCAAAGGAAUUGACGGGGGCCCGCACAAGCGGCGGAGCAUGCGGAUUAAUUCGAUGCAACGCGAAGAACCUUACCAAGGCUUGACAUAUACCGGAAACCUGCAGAAAUGUAGGCCCCGCAAGGUCGGUAUACAGGUGGUGCAUGGUUGUCGUCAGCUCGUGUCGUGAGAUGUUGGGUUAAGUCCCGCAACGAGCGCAACCCUCGUUCUAUGUUGCCAGCACGUAAUGGUGGGAACUCAUAGGAGACUGCCGGGGUCAACUCGGAGGAAGGUGGGGAUGACGUCAAAUCAUCAUGCCCCUUAUGUCUUGGGCUUCACGCAUGCUACAAUGGCCGGUACAAAGGGCUGCAAUACCGUAAGGUGGAGCGAAUCCCAAAAAGCCGGUCUCAGUUCGGAUUGAGGUCUGCAACUCGACCUCAUGAAGUCGGAGUCGCUAGUAAUCGCAGAUCAGCAACGCUGCGGUGAAUACGUUCCCGGGCCUUGUACACACCGCCCGU